CUUGGUCAUUUAGAGGAAGUAAAAGUCGUAACAAGGUUUCCGUAGGUGAACCUGCGGAAGGAUCAUCACUGUGAAUGCAAUGUUCUUGUAACAUGUGCACGGAGAGAGACACGGACAAAUUGUCAAAGAGAGAAUGAAUGGAAAGUAUUAGUGCUGUUGUGAUAACGGAAAAAAUGUUGAUAAACACAACUGCAAACGGUGGAUCACUCGGCUCGCAGGUCGAUGAAGAACGCAGCUAGCUGCGUUAAGCGGUGUGAAUUGCAGGACACGCCGAGCACUUGAUUUUCGAACGCAUAUUGCAGCCUCGGGUUUUUCCCGGGGUUUCGUUUGUCUGAGGGUCGGUAAUGAAACAAACAUCGUAAAAGUCUGUUCGGUGACUGUGGGAAUCGGUUUCGUCGGACAAUUGUUACACUUGUCUGUGUGAAAACUGCCGUCAAGUUUCGAGCAUCUAUGCAGCUUGAACACUACACGUUUGGCUGUGCUCGUAAGCUUCGACGACUGUUUGGUUUUGCUUGCAUGCCAGACGCUCACGGACUCGGUGUUGUUGUGAGACAAGCGUUGACACGCAUGUGUGAACAUAUAUGUCGACCUCAGAUCAAGCGAGAUUACCCGCUGAAUUUAAGCAUAUAACUAAGCGGUGGAAAAGAAACCAAAAGGGAUUUCGAUAGUAACGGCGAGCGAAAUCGAAACAGCUCAGCGCCAAGUCCUAUCGUCAUAAGGCGUAUAGGAGAUGCGGCGUGAAUGUAACAAUGCAUCGCAUUGUGCCUUUGUAACGCAAGUUCUUCUGACAAGGACUUUUUCCAUAGCGGGUGCUAGGCCCAUAGCUGUUGCAAGGCUACUAUGCGCAUAUUGUUGCAUGCUAGAGUCAGGUUGCUUGAAAGUGCAGCCCAAAGUAGGUGGUAAACUCCACCUAAAGCUAAAUAUUACUGCGAGACCGAUAGCAAACAAGUACCGUGAGGGAAAGUUGCAAAGAACUUUGAAGAGAGAGUUCAAUAGGACGUGAAACCGUUUGUAGGUAAACGGGUGGAACCACGAAGUUUGCCGGAAGGAGGAUUCAACUGUUCCGUGAGUGGCAGCCGGUGAUGUUCUAUUCAGGUUUUCGUUAGAAAGCAGGCGUCAUUGGCAUUCAAUGUUGCUCUCGGGCGGUGCAUUUCUUCACUUCCGUGCUAAAGCCAUGACUAGUUGGAAAGCUAAAGCGUCCGUAUGCGAGGGUUGCCGGCAGGUAACUAGAUGCGUACUUCGCGUGCGUAUGCUAGAGUUAUAGCCGGUAGCUUGGCUGUGUUGGUGCUUAAGUUAACCGACUAGGGAAAGUUCUCCGUUUGUGCGGAGUAUGCAAGUAGAGCCGGCAGACAGUUUCGUUGUCGAGACAAGCGUUGAUUUUGUAGGCAUUUUUGUGUUUGCACGAAAAAACUGCGUUAUCAAUCUGUCUAUGCUGGCGGCGAAAGUUCUGUUUGUCGGUGAACAAUCGAUGGCCAGUAGGUCGGUAUCCACCUGACCCGUCUUGAAACACGGACC
rnacentral:rRNA from 1 species